rnacentral:lncRNA from 1 species
ACUGCCAGUAUUCGUCGGGCACGAAGCUCGUCUGCACCAGGGCGCAGUUCAGCCCGCGCAGCGCCACCGCCAGCGCCACCAGCCAGGGCCUCUCGCCGGGCGGACCUGCGGCAGCACAGCCGGGCUCAGGGACACGCCGCCGGCACCCCCCGCCCCGCUUACCGACCGCCGCUUGCGGAGUCGCACGGCCUCAGCCCGCCGCGGCCGGGCCCGCGCCAGCAGCCCGCCGGCCGCCUCCAUCCGUGGGGCGGGGCGGGGCGGGGCGCGCCGCGGCGCAUGCGCCAGCUCAGGGCCCGUGGGAGAGCAGGGCACUUCCUUCCGGUCAGUCUAGCGGGCGGGAGGCCGCCGCUCCGUGGUCUCCUCGGUCCUUCAGAGACACGAAGAGGAGGAAAAGAGCCCAUUUGGGUGAAGCACUGACGAGCGGUCUGAGCGGAGGGAUGGCUGAGCCCCCCUCGGGUCUGGCACUGCCUGACCUCUCUGUGUCCAUGCAUGAUCGUCGACGGGGACGGCGUUUACACGGCGUCCGUGGCUGGAAGCGCUCUGGAGAUGGAGCACGUGGACUGAGCUCUCUGGUCCGUCCCCAGCCGCUGUGAACGGCAUGCUGUGCUGCACCAUCCAUCUCUUGGGGAAAAGUGAGACGGAAAAGGAGUACAACUCGUUUAAUUAGAACUGCUGCGUGAGGCUGAGCAAAGCGACUCGCAGGAGGCGCGGAGCCGGUCCGAUGAGAGCUGCCGGCGAGCCGGGGCAGGCAGAAGGCGUUGCGCCGCGGAUCCCGCAGGUCC